rnacentral:rRNA from 1 species
GACGAACGCUGGCGGCGUGCUUAACACAUGCAAGUCGAGCGGUAAGGCCCUUUCGGGGGUACGACGAGCGGCGAACGGGUAGGAGUAACACGUGGGUGGACCUGCCCUCCAGCUCUGGGAGUAAAGCCUGGGAAACGUAGGGUCGUAAUACCGGAGUAUGACCUGCUGCUUCAUGGUGGUGGGUGGAAAGUGCAGUAACAUUGUUACUGUUUC